GGCUACCGCCCAACAGAAACCCACAACUCUGGGUCUUCUCUUCCGGCUGGUAGUCCCGCCGGCGCUUCUCCGCCUCCGCCGCCUUAGCCAAGCACGCCACUUCUCCCAUGGCUGCGGACUGGUCGUGGGCGCGCCGGGCGUGGGAGAAGUGGACCGAAAAGCACGUCGGCUCUUCCGGGAUGCCGGUCAAGGCGGCGCUGCUGCUCAACUACGACCCGACCGGACCAUCUCGCCUCCUCCCCAUCAUAGCAGAGCAAGAGGGGACGAGAUUUACUGCUGUUGAUCUACAACCAUUUACGGACUUCUUUAGAAGGAAUAAUCUGCAGACGGAAUUCUUCUCUAUUGGGCCGAACCAAUAUUUAGUCACCUCAAUCCAUGAGCACUGGUUUUGUGCGCGUUGCGUUAACACAACAAAACACGAAGGUGAAGGAAUUUUGGUUAUGAAGAUCGGAGCUUACUUAUUAGUCUCUAUGUAUGAUGGUUCACUUGGUUCGGCUUCACAGGCAAUGGUGGCUGUUGAUCAAUUUUCAUCGCACUUUAACCGGAGAACACAUUAACUGCCAACUUAUAUUAGCUUGAGGUUUAACAUGAACCUACUACAACUUGUUGUUUGGAAUCAUGGUCUUACUUUAUUAGUCUCUAUGUAUGAUGGUUCACUUGGUUCGGCUUCACAGGCAAUGGUGGCUGUUGAUCAAUUUUCAUCGCACUUUAACCGGAGAACACAUUAAUUGCCAACUUGUAUUAGCUAACAUGAACCUACAACUUAUUGUUUGGGAUCAUGGUCUUAGAAUGUAGUGUCUGACCUGACACAAUGCUAUCCAUAGGUUUUAGUGCAAUAACUAAGAUUCUCCUAAAUGUAGCUAAAUGUAAUCGUACAGUACUUCAUGGUCCUAUGAGAUCUAUUUUCUCCCAAA